GUUUUAAUAGUUUAACAAAAACAUCGGUCUUGUAAACCAAAAUUAAGAAAAAUCUUUUAAAACU
rnacentral:tRNA from 1 species